GAUGAACGCUGGCGGCGUGCCUAAUACAUGCAAGUCGAGCGAACUUUUGGGAGCUUGCUCCCACAAGUUAGCGGCGGACGGGUGAGUAACACGUGGGUAACCUGCCUGUAAGACUGGGAUAACUUCGGGAAACCGGAGAUAAUACCGGAUAACAUUGAAGACAACAUGGCCUUCAAUUAAAAGGUGGCUUUUAGCUACCACUUAUAGAUGGACCCGCGGCGCAUUAGCUAGUUGGUGAGGUAACGGCUCACCAAGGCGACGAUGCGUAGCCGACCUGAGAGGGGGAGCGGCCACACUGGGACUGGGACACGGCCCAGACUCCUACGGGAGGCAGCAGGAGGGAAUCUUCCGCAAUGGACGAAAGUCUGACGGGGCAACGCCGCGGGAGCGAAGGAGGCCUUCGGGUCGUAAAGCUCUGUUGUUAGGGAAGAACAAGUAUCGUUCGAAUAGGGCGGUAUCUUGACGGUACCUAACCAGAAAGCCACGGCUAACUACGUG
rnacentral:rRNA from 1 species